rnacentral:rRNA from 1 species
AUUGAACGCUGGCGGCAUGCCUUACACAUGCAAGUCGAACGGCAGCACGGGAGCAAUCCUGGUGGCGAGUGGCGAACGGGUGAGUAAUAUAUCGGAACGUGCCCAGUCGUGGGGAUAACGUAGCGAAAGCUACGCUAAUACCGCAUACGAUCUAUGGAUGAAAGCGGGGGAUCGCAAGACCUCGCGCGAUUGGAGCGGCCGAUAUCAGAUUAGGUAGAUGGUGAGGUAAAGGCUCACCAAGCCGACGAUCUGUAGCUGGUCUGAGAGGACGACCAGCCACACUGGGACUGAGACACGGACCAGACUCCUACGGGAGGCAGCAGUGAGGAAUAUUGGACAAUGGGCGCAAGCCUGAUCCAGCCAUGCCGCGUGUGUGAAGAAGG